rnacentral:piRNA from 1 species
UACAGUAUUCAUUCAGGUGGCUUUGUUGAU